rnacentral:rRNA from 1 species
AGCGAACGCUGGCGGCAGGCCUAACACAUGCAAGUCGAACGAAGUCUUCGGACUUAGUGGCGGACGGGUGAGUAACACGUGGGAACGUGCCUUUAGGUUCGGAAUAACUCAGGGAAACUUGUGCUAAUACCGAAUGUGCCCUUCGGGGGAAAGAUUUAUCGCCUUUAGAGCGGCCCGCGUCUGAUUAGCUAGUUGGUGAGGUAAAGGCUCACCAAGGCGACGAUCAGGAGCUGGUCUGAGAGGAUGAUCAGCCACAUUGGGACUGAGACACGGCCCAAACUCCUCCGGGAGGCAGCAGUGGGGAAUCUUGAGCAAUGGGCGAAAGCCUGACGCAGCCAUGCCGCGUGAAUGAUGAAGGUCUUAGGAUUGUAAAAUCCUUUCACCGGGGACGAUAAUGACGGUACCCGGAGAAGAAGCCCCGGCUAACUUCGUGCCAGCCGCCGCGGUAA